rnacentral:piRNA from 1 species
UUCUAACAGGGUCCAUACCCUACUUUGCCUA